rnacentral:rRNA from 1 species
GACGAACGCUGGCGGCGUGCUUAACACAUGCAAGUCGAACGAUGAAGCUAGAGCUUGCUCUGGUGGAUUAGUGGCGAACGGGUGAGUAACACGUGAGUAACCUGCCCCGAACUCUGGGAUAACUGCUGGAAACGGUAGCUAAUACCGGAUAUGACCAAUGAAGGCAUCUUCUGUUGGUGGAAAGAAUUUCGGUUCGGGAUGGACUCGCGGCCUAACAGCUUGUUGGUGAGGUAACGGCUCACCAAGGCGACGACGGGUAGCCGGCCUGAGAGGGUGAUCGGACACACUGGGACGGAGACACGGCCCAGACUCCUACGGGAGGCAGCAGUGGGGAAUAUUGCACAAUGGGCGCAAGCCUGAUGCAGCAACGCCGCGUGAGGGACGACGGCCUUCGGGUUGUAAACCUCUUUUAGUAGGGAAGAAGCGAAAGUGACGGUACCUGCAGAAAAAGCACCGGCUAACUACGUGCCAGCAGCCGCCGUAA